rnacentral:rRNA from 1 species
UACGGAGGAUCCGAGCGUUAUCCGGAUUUAUUGGGUUUAAAGGGUGCGUAGGCGGAAAUGUAAGUCAGUGGUGAAAUCCUGCAGCUUAACUGUAGAAUAGCCGUUGAAACUGUGUUUCUUGAGUACAUUUGAGGUAGGCGGAAUGUGGUGUGUAGCGGUGAAAUGCAUAGAUAUACCACAGAACACCGAUUGCGAAGGCAGCUUACUAAACUGUCACUGACGCUGAUGCACGAAAGCGUGGGUAUCAAACAGGAUUAGA